rnacentral:pre_miRNA from 2 species
UCUUAUAGAUGUGUGAAGAAAGUGGCUUCUUGAGAUGGAAUCUACUACUGGUGAAGAUGCUGUGAA